GAUAACCCCCUGGAAAACUGGGGAUAAUUCCGGAUAACGCAUAUUUGCUGGAAUGCUUUAUGCGUCAAAAGGAUUCGUCUGCCCAAGGAUGGGUCUGCGGCCUAUCAGGUAGUAGUGGGUGUAAUGUACCUACUAGCCAGCGACGGGUACGGGUUGUGAGAGCAAGAGCCCGGAGAUGGAUUCUGAGACAUGAAUCCAGGCCCUACGGGGCGCAGCAGGCGCGAAAACUUUACAAUGCGGGAAACCGUGAUAAGGGGACACCGAGUGCCAGCAUCAUAUGCUAGCUGUCCGGAUGUGUAAAAUACAUCCGUUAGCAAGGGCCGGGCAAGACCGGUGCCAGCCGCCGCGGUAACACCGGCGGCCCGAGUGGUGAUCGUGAUUAUUGGGUCUAAAGGGUCCGUAGCCGGUUUGGUCAGUCCUCCGGGAAAUCUGAUAGCUCAACUAUUAGGCUUUCGGGGGAUACUGCCAGACUUGGAACCGGGAGAGGUAAGAGGUACUACAGGGGUAGGAGUGAAAUCUUGUAAUCCCUGUGGGACCACCUGUGGCGAAGGCGUCUUGCCAGAACGGGUUCGACGGUGAGGGACGAAAGCUGGGGGCACAAACCGGAUUAGAUACCCGGGUAGUCUCAGCCGUAUACGAUGCGCUCUAUGUGUCUCGCAUGUGGCGACUGUGUCUCGUGUCACACGGAACAGGUGAAACGCGGGCCUGCUGCCAAAAACGCCAACGAUGAAGAAUAAUAAGAGUGGUGGGGGAGGGCCCCAACGGGGGGAGGACGCUUUUGAUCUAUUAGAAACCCACCGCACGACUCACCCCCCGGGGGUGACACAGAUGUAAUGUAGACCAAGAUUACAUGUCUUGUCCCUUGAUUAACGGGAAGAUGUUGUGCAU
rnacentral:rRNA from 1 species